UUUGUUUCUUCUCCGGAGAACUGAACACCUUCCGGCACGGUGCCCGGUGGUGCACCACCGUGCCGGAGUUAUAAACUCCACUUUUUUUCAAAAAUCUUUACACCUUUAAAUAUCCUUUUCUCUCCUAAACCCAAAUCCGGUUUCACAAAUUCGAAAAAGGUUCAAAAUAAUCGUAGAUCUAGGUUUUAAAAUUCGAAAAUCAUUGAUGUUCUUCGAAAGUUGGCUCUGAUGUUUCGGAUUAUGCUCUGAUGUUCUUCGAAAGUUGGCUCGAUUCUGUUCCACUUUCUUUCGAUCUGUUCGGUUUGAUGGAUGAUUCAGCUGUUUGAUGGUGUUUUUGCGUAAUUGUUGUUCUUUCCUUCUUCCUCCCUUCAAAUUGGUUUUGCUUCCUCUUGAUUUUGCUCGUUUUGGAUCCAGUUUGUUUGUGAGUGGAGGUGGAGUUUCGGUUGGUAUGGAUUUGGGUUAUGGUUCGAACAAUAACAAACAGUGGUGGUUGUAGUUAUUAUUUUUGAACGGCUGGUGAUUGUUUGUGGAUGAAUUUCGAAAUUGUGGUUUUGAAUGAAUUUUAAAAAUUGUUGGUGUGUUCUUGAGGUUAUGUGAUGAACACUGGACGAUUUUGAUUAUUUUUGUUUGUUUGAUCCGAAGAUAUAUAGAAAAUUGAGAGAAUUUUUUUUAUUUUAUGCACAGUGGAGAUGCAGAUGGCAGAUUACCCGUGAUAGGGUAAUUGCUCUUCUGGGUUUUUGUUUAUAAAAUUCUUCUUCAUCUCAAUUCCUAUUCAGAUUAUGAAAAGCAACGUCUUCUUGUAUUCUUCAUGCAUUUUUGAAGGAAAGGAAAAUU
rnacentral:lncRNA from 1 species